AGUGAACGCUGGCGGUAGGCCUAACACAUGCAAGUCGAACGGCAGCACAGUAAGAGCUUGCUCUUAUGGGUGGCGAGUGGCGGACGGGUGAGGAAUACAUCGGAAUCUAGUUUUUCGUGGGGGAUAAGGUAGGGAAACUUACGCUAAUACCGCAUACGACCUACGGGUGAAAGUAGGGGAUCUUCGGACCUUGCGCGAUUGAAUGAGCCGAUGUCGGAUUAGCUAGUUGGCGGGGUAAAGGCCCACCAAGGCGGCGAUCCGUAGCUGAUCUGAGAGGAUGAUCAGCCACACUGGAACUGAGACACGUUCCAGACUCCUACGGGACGCAGCAGUGUGGAAUAUUGGACAAUGGGCGCAAGCCUGGUCCAGCCAUACCGAGUGGGUGAAAAAGGCCUUCGGGUUGUAAAGCCCUUUUUUUGGGAAAGAAAAGCAGCAGGUUAAUACCCCGCUGUUCUGACGGUACCCAAAGAAUAAGCACCGGCUAACUUCGUG
rnacentral:rRNA from 1 species